rnacentral:rRNA from 1 species
UUUCUCUGUGGGGGGGAAUGAAAAACCCCUCGAAUAGAGAGUCAAAAAGUUCGUGAAACGCCUAGGGGUUCCCUUCGGGUUGCCGGGGGCGGCCCCGCCGCAGGGCACUUGUUUUUUUGCCCUAGCCCAGAGGGCACUGCGAUUCAUUUCGAAACAGCUUUUGCGCCGCAAAGCGCAAGGUCGCCCGACAACUGCCCCCUGGUGCUGGUUGCUUGCCCCACAGUAGCGACGCUCAGUUCUGAAGGCCUGUGCCGCGAGGUGGGGCUUACUGCACGUGGUGUUCUAGCAGUCGGGCGCGUGAUGGAUUCCCCCGGACACCGGGUGGUCUUCCCGCAAGGGGCCACCGGACUGUCGAUCGGCAGGAAAGAAUCGAGGUACCUUCGGACCCGUCUA